GACGGACGGUGCAAGCGUUGCUCGGAAUCACUGGGCGUAAAGGGUGCGUAGGCGGCUUGGUGGGUCUGGUGUGAAAGCCCCGGGCUCAGCCCGGGAAGGGCGCUAGAAACUGCCGAGCUCGAGUGCCGGAGGGGAGAGUGGAAUUCCUGGUGUAGCGGUGAAAUGCGUAGAUAUCAUUUGGAACGCCAAUGGUGAAAACAGGUAGCUGGGAGUGUGCUGACGCUGAGACACGAAAGCCAGGGGAGCAAACGGG
rnacentral:rRNA from 1 species